rnacentral:rRNA from 1 species
CCUACGGGAGGCUGCAGUGGGGAAUAUUGCACAAUGGGGGAAACCCUGAUGCAGCGACGCCGCGUGAGUGAAGAAGUAUUUCGGUUUGUAAAGCUCUAUCAGCAGGGAAGAAAUAAAGUCCUUCGGACUUUGUACGGUAUCUGACUACGAAGCCCCGGCUCACUACGUGCCAGCAUCCGCGGUAAAACGUUGGGGGCAAGCGCUAUCCGGAUUUAAUGGGUGUAAAGGGAGCGUAGACGGCAGCGCAAGUCUGGAGUGAAAUCCCAUGGCUUAACCAUGGAACUGCUUUGGAAACUGUGCAGCUGGAGUGCAGGAGAGGUAAGCGGAAUUCCUAGUGUAGCGGUGAAAUGCGUAGAUAUUAGGAGGAACACCAGUGGCGAAGGCGGCUUACUGGACUGUAACUGACGUUGAGGCACGAAAGCGUGGGGAGCAAACAGGAUUAGAUACCCGAGUAGUC